UGGGAACCUGGCUGGCUUUCAGCGGGGCCGCUGAGGGAUGGCGAGUGCUUUGAGCUUUGGCAAAGUCUGACAGGCAGGCAGUGUUGGCAUGAAACAAAGGUUUUCUGCCUGGCAAAACUGCUUCUUGAUCAUGACCGAGGAAUGCUCUCUUCCCAAAAAUGGCACCCCAACCAUAUUCCAGCUCUGGCUCCUUCCCACAGUCCCUUCCCAUACACGUCCAGCCACACAGGAGAGGGUGGUUAGUGUUACAGCUGCUGUUACUAAUGGCUUCAUUCCUGCAGAGAACUCAGCAGUUCAGGGGGGUGGCACUUUUAUAUGUAACCUCCAUUAUUUCAGUAGUCUCCUAGACCUCUGGAGUAAGUACUGACCUAAAACGCAGCUCAUUUGCAUGUAGAUGUGAAAGAGGAUCAGGGAAAAUGGCUCACCCAGUAAAGCGCUUGCUCUGCAAGCCUCCAUGGAACCCACAGAAAAGCCGGGUGCGCAUGGCAGCUCACCGUCAUCCCACACGGGAGAGGUGGAAACAGGGUCCCUGGAGCAAGCUGCCCAGUGGAAGUUCUUAGUGAGCUCUGGUUCUAGGGAGAGUCCUACAUUAAUAUUUAAAGUAAGGAGCCAAGCAGGAAGAUACUUAAUGUUAGCCUGAGGCCUCUACAUGCAUGCACCCACGUGUGCACCCUCACACAGCCUCUGAACAUCCAGACACACAUGUACCCAUCCGGGCAUAUAAAACAUGAAAAUAAAGUAGAAGAAAAUCUAGCUCAGAGCAACGCUGUCUUUUUCCCAAGGACUUGAAAUGGAAAUCAAAUACUAACCUCUUCCCCAAGUUCUUCUGAAGCCGGUUCUAAAGUAAAGACUGUUAGGGACCAGCAAAGGUUAUGUUUCUAACAUCUGAAAUUAGAAGUUUCUUCUCUCCCCCUGAAGAUGGACUCCCUUCACAACCCAGUGAGAGUCAUUCCUUAUGUUCUUUCUUCCUUUUUUUUUUCUCCUUUGUUUUUUACACACACACACACACACACACACACACACAUACACACACUCACUGUAGUUGUCUUCAGACACACCAGAAGAGGGAAUCAGAUUCUAUUACAGUUGGUUGUGAGCCACCAUGUGGUUGCUGGGAUUUGAACUCAGGACCUCUGGAAGAGCAGUCAGUGCUCUUAACCUCUGAGCCAUCUCUCCAACCCUCUAACGUUCUUUCUGAUGCCCUCUACCAUCUCCCGUGUCCUGUCUUCUCCGUGCUUGAGGUGAUGGGUUAGUCUAGUCUCAUUUCAUGUCUGCCUGCUAAGGGAGGAGUAAACUAAUUAAGAGAUUGCUCGAAUCCCCCAACAAAGUGUCCUUUCCUCUCUCCUGAAAAGAAUUUUACUCUUUGGUAUCCUGACCUUAGGCACCGGACUCCCAAAAUUAUAAAAUGAUUGACUUGAGGAAAGUGAAGUGGGGGUGUUGCUCAGUGGUUAGGGUGACCGCCUAGUGUACACAAGGCCUUGGGUCCAUCCACAGCACUGGAGAAAGGAGGGGGAGAAGAGUAAGGGGGGAAUUAAGAUGCCAGACUCCUCCUAUUUGGUUGUGUUGUCACAAGUCAGGCUUGUGGACUGGCCUAUCUCAGAGGCAGAUUACCUGGCUAUUUUAUUUUAUUUUAUUUUAUUUUAUUUUAUUUUAUUUUAUUUUAUUUUAUAAGAGCAAGAGAUACUUUAUUCUAGAACCAUUUUUGAAUGACUAUAACUUGGAGACACAUAUUUAGGUUAUCUUAAUUUCCAUAUUUCAACAUGGAAGAAGUUUCAUGAAGUUUUAUCAUUUUACAAAGCAGAAGACAUCAUAAAUCAAGGCAAGUUUAAAACACGUUGGUGGGUGCAGGAGAGAGGCAGGUGCAGCCAGAGGGGGGGAAGCUUUUUCUAUAGGCCCAAGAUGCUAACUGUGAUUCAGGGUCGGUGGAAGCUAGUCCUCUGCUAAGUUAAUGGUUCGAAACGGUUGUUAUCUGUUAGUCACAGGAUGUCAGCUCAGACACAGAGGUGGGCAAGGGUUGACUGAUCCAGAGGGCUAGCACUAGCCUAAGACCUGCAACAUGGCAGUCUCUCCACAGCACUGAAAUUCUAGUUAGCUAGUAGUCAGUCUCUGUAGACACGGCUUCGUUCCAAGAGCUCUCAUUUACAGAACCCGCUGCUGGUCACACAGCACAUUUUGUGCAGUGGGCAGUGGAGGAGAGAGGUACGCACGUAUUAUUUAUUAAAUAUUAUUAUAAUGUCCCUUGUGGCUAGAAAUCUCACCCUAGGAUCUGAUAUAGUUGGGGCGGAAUAGCAGGCCGGACAGCAGUGUCUGGGAGAGGGAAAAGGCCACUAAGGAAGAAACUUGCAAAUCAUAUCACCAGUAUCAGCCAUAUUAGAAUCUAUUUUUAAAAGAGGCAAAGGAAUCAAACUGAUUGGCAGAGAGAGACAUAUUAUCAAAGAACUCCCAGGCUGGGGAGAUAGCUUAGUCAGUUCUUUCCUUCCCAUUAGAAAGACCUGAGUUUGGUCGCUAGCACUCACAUUUAAAGGAGCAGCAAACACCUAUAAUCCCAGCACUGGAGAAGCAAAGACAGAAGGGUCCUGUAGCUUGAUGGGCAGCCAGUCUAGACUAACUGGUGAGCCCCAGCUAGUGAGAAACCUGGGUGUGUGUGUUGGGGGUGGGAGGAGAUGACUAAGCAGGGUACUUGGUACUAAGCCUGGUGACCUGACUAUGACCCCCCCUCCAGAUCAUACAUGGUAGAAGGAGAGGAGCAACCCCUGCAAGUUGUCUCCUACCUCCACAGACAUGCCACAGCAUGCACGCACAUGCACAUAUGAAAUAAAUAAAUAUUUCUAAACGUGGACAGACAGUGCCUGAGGAAUGACUCUCACAAUUUACCUCAGGCCUUCACAUGCACACAUAUCUGCACGCAUCCUACCUCACAAACAUGCACGCACACAUGUAUGUACACUCACUGAAAAUAAUCAAAAUAAAAUUUAAAGAGAAAUAAGAGAGAGGAUAUGAGGUAAAACAGAGCCUGGCCCCUGAGCAGGGCUGUGUCCGCUGAGCCCCAGGAGCGGACCUGGAAGUCCGGCUUGGGAGGCUCAAGCAUAGGACUAAGUUACUGUCCUCUCUGCAUCUGCAUCUUGGUCUGCGGCUCCAUUUGUGUUGCGUUACUUGGCUGCUGGUGCAGCUUUAAGCAGCCUGCCUGCCAUGCAGCCUCCUAGACAAGGAACCUGGGUUGAGAACCUGCUGGUCAGCCUCUGGGGCCACAUAUGUUUCCUCAGCACAGAAAGCAGGAGUGUGGAUUGAAUAAGUUCUUCAGGGCCUGGGCAGUGAAAGUCAACGACAGGUUUUGCUUAGCAUGAACAAGGCCCAAGGUUCAAUCCCCAGUGUGUCAUUAGGGAUCUUGUCACCAAACCCUGUAAAACCAUUUCUUAGUGAUGAAAACUGAUGCUGCUUUGAAG
rnacentral:lncRNA from 1 species